GCAUAUCAAUAAGCGGAGGAAAAGAAAAUAACAAUGAUUCCCUUAGUAACGGCGAGUGAAGGGGGAUAAGCUCAAAUUUUAAAUCUACCAGGUUAACCUGGUCGAGUUGUAAUUUGAAGAAGCGUUUUCCGCGUUCGGGUCGGCCCAAAUCCUUUGGGAUAAGGUAUCAUGGAGGGUGAGAAUCCCGUUCGGCUGACCUUAGGAUGCUUUACGAUACGCUCUCAAAGAGUCGAGUUGUUUGGGAUUGCAGCUCAAAAUGGGAGGUAAAUUUCUCCUAAGGCUAAAUACCGGCGAGAGACCGAUAGCGAACAAGUACCGUGAGGGAAAGAUGAAAAGAACUUUGAAAAGAGAGUUAAAUAGUACGUGAAAUUGUUGAAAGGGAAACGAUUGAAGUCAGUCGUACCGGCGGGAAAUCAGCUUUUCGAGUGGGGGUUCGCGGGUGCGUGGAGCUUCUUCGGCCUUCGUCGCUUGUGACACCUUUUGCUUCUGGAGCGUACUUUUCCGUGUGGUAGGUCAACAUCGGUUUCGAUUGCCAUAAAAUGACCGGAGGAAUGUGGCUUCGAUCUUGUAUUGGAGUGUUAUAGCCUCUGGUAGAUGUGGUGGUUGGGAUCGAGGAUUGCAACGAAUACCCUUUGGGCUAUCCGCCUGACCUCUGAAAGUCGCUUGGGUACCGAAAGCUUGCUUACGGUCAUUCAAGUUGGCGGUCAAAAGGUUAGAACGUGAUUAAAUUCGUUAAGGAUGUUGACGUA
rnacentral:rRNA from 1 species